ACCACUCCAGCUUCUGCCAGACAGAUGGAUCUCUCCAGCAUGAAAAUCUGCGCAGCUAUUCCAACAAACAGGACUCUGGCUGAGGUUGUCUGAAGGAUGCCGAGGAAAAAGACCUAAGGACUGGGAGCUCUCUUACCCCAAGAUAGAUCACCUCCCCCCAUUCUGAAUUUCCAGCACAAUUUCACAUCAGCAACUGAAGUGUAGGCGUUUUCCAGCAGGGCCUA